AUUGAACGCUGGCGGCGUGCUUAACACAUGCAAGUCGAACGAUGAAGCCGGAGCUUGCUCUGGUGAAUUAGUGGCGAACGGGUGAGUAACACGUGAGUAACCUGCCCUUGACCCUGGGAUAACUGCGGGAAACUGUAGCUAAUACCGGAUACGACCCUCGGAGGCAUCUCCUGGGGGUGGAAAGAAUUUCGGUCAAGGAUGGACUCGCGGCCUAUCAGCUAGUUGGUGAGGUAAAGGCUCACCAAGGCGACGACGGGUAGCCGGCCUGAGAGGGUGACCGGCCACACUGGGACUGAGACACGGCCCAGACUCCUACGGGAGGCAGCAGUGGGGAAUAUUGCACAAUGGGCGCAAGCCUGAUGCAGCAACGCCGCGUGAGGGAUGACGGCCUUCGGGUUGUAAACCUCUUUUAGCAGGGAAGAAGCGAAAGUGACGGUACCUGCAGAAAAAGCACCGGCUAACUACGUGCCAGCCGCCGCCGUAA
rnacentral:rRNA from 1 species